rnacentral:rRNA from 1 species
UACGUAGGGUGCGAGCGUUAAUCGGAAUUACUGGGCGUAAAGCGUGCGCAGGCGGUUUUGUAAGCCAGAUGUGAAAUCCCCGGGCUUAACCUGGGAAUGGCAUUUGGGACUGCAAGGCUUGAGUGCGGCAGAGGAGACUGGAAUUCCCGGUGUAGCAGUGAAAUGCGUAGAUAUCGGGAGGAAUACCGAUGGCGAAGGCAGGUCUCUGGGCUGACGCUGACGCUCAUGCACGAAAGCGUGGGGAGCAAACAGG